rnacentral:tRNA from 1 species
GGGCGGGUUGGGCAAAUUCCGGGCAGGCGCAUGGUACUAUCGUCAUAACAUAUUGAUUCUUUAUGCAGAAACAACCGCCACCCGCUGCCUUGACAUCGCAGGGGUCGCAAGUUCAAUCCUUGCCACGCCUA